GUGGAGUUUCACAUCAGCUCUUGUCUUCCUCGAAUAAACACACCAAGCUCUGUCGAGAUCCUCUGAGAAGAAGGUUGACGUUUUCUGGUUAUUCUGGUAGCCCUUAUCAUGGUACUUUCCUGCCUCUACUGGUAAUACCUUACCUGACACCGCCUAAGUUGCACUUCCCUCUCUCAUGUCCUUAUCCUUCUCUUUUUGGACGCCCCCAUGACAGCUCCUGUGAUUACCUGAAAUGCCAGAGGUUUCUGUCCUUUGGUGUUUCCAACUGAUACUUUUUCAGCCUAGACAAGUGACCAGCCCAGCCUCUUGGGUUCACAGUAACUCCGGUGGACUCUAUUUGAGGCACUGAUGGCGCGUCUCUGCACUUGCCUGGAAGUAGCUUGAAAUCCUCCAUCAAGGAGUGUGCCGGCAAAUCAAGUCUCCCUGAAAAGAGAGAGAAAGGGAACUGUCAGGAACUUCUGAUAAGACUUCAGUUUCUGUGGAGAAUAUGACAAAACCUGGUUUCGAAACAAGCGGAAACCAUCAAUUGAAAGGAUUCUGCUAACCCUGGCACGUGAUGCUAGUUAAAGUGUUUAUUGUUGACCAUUCUUGAGAGCUAAAUUUACCAAAAGGUUUCUAACAUGUUCACGUGAGAGAGAGGGAAUGGAAGAGCCUCCGUGACCAUACGCGGCUAGUGGCUGAGCGCCAUGGCCCCGAGUGGGGCCAGCCUGGGCCAGCGGACACCCGCAGAAAACUCGCCACCCCCCAGCGCAUCGUUGCUGCCGCUCAGCAGCUUUCCCAGCCGCCGAGGCUGUCCGUGGCUGCUGGGAGAGCGUGGCCUCCUCUUAACCCGACGUACAGCAAAAAGCACGGCUGCAGAAGACGUGUCACUUGUGGAAAUAACAAACAGCAUCCAGCAGUGAACACGCAACUUUGCUCUUGUUUUUCUUGUAACACGUAUUUUAGAGGUCCUCCCAGACUGGCGCGUGGAGCCAACAGUGGUGGAGGAGAGAUCCUUCCGGGCGCCGAGGGGGCAGGUCCGAUGGAGAGGUGUCUGAGCGGGUCGGAGCGCCGCCGCAGGGGCAGAGGCACACGUCUUCCCUGA
rnacentral:lncRNA from 1 species